GAUGAACGCUGGCGGCGUGCUUAACACAUGCAAGUCGAACGAUGAAGUCCAGCUUGCUGGGUGGAUUAGUGGCGAACGGGUGAGUAACACGUGAGUAACCUGCCCUUAACUCUGGGAUAAGCCUGGGAAACUGGGUCUAAUACCGGAUAGGAGCGUCCACCGCAUGGUGGGUGUUGGAAAGAUUUAUCGGUUUUGGAUGGACUCGCGGCCUAUCAGCUUGUUGGUGAGGUAAUGGCUCACCAAGGCGACGACGGGUAGCCGGCCUGAGAGGGUGACCGGCCACACUGGGACUGAGACACGGCCCAGACUCCUACGGGAGGCAGCAGUGGGGAAUAUUGCACAAUGGGCGCAAGCCUGAUGCAGCGACGCCGCGUGAGGGAUGACGGCCUUCGGGUUGUAAACCUCUUUCAGUAGGGAAGAAGCGAAAGUGACGGUACCUGCAGAAGAAGCACCGGCUAACUACGUG
rnacentral:rRNA from 1 species